rnacentral:lncRNA from 1 species
CGCCAGCGUCGGGAGGUGCGGUGUCCAGGCCUGGGGACAGUUACCUCCGUUUGUCCCCUCCGCCUCCCACGGGCUGUGUGAAAAUGAACUCUUUCAGACUGGGGUCAUCAGCUGUCCAGACCAAUGCCAUUUGGCCGAUAGUGGCCUCAGACAAGCCCUCCUUGGUUUCCUUUCUUCCUCACCCGGAAUGUCAACCCGAGGCCUCUGGCGGCUGAAUUCUGCUGUAUGGAGGCCGCUUGGUGCAAGGUCUCAUUUCUACACCUGGUGGAGGGCAGUACAGGGUGGAAAAUAAGAGCUCCUGCUCUGGAGCCGGACUGGCAGCCUUUUCCUUGCUCUAUCACUUAAGAGUUGUGGAACUGUGAGUUAUUAAAUCUCUUUCCUCUUUAGUUUCCUCAUCAAUAAAAUGGGGAUAAUAAAUGAAUAUUCUAUAAAUGAGUUCAUAUAAAAUGCCUAGAAUAGUGAGUGCUCUGAGCGUUUUCAAAGUUUAGGGCCUGGUAGAAGCAUGGCUGUAGGCUGCCUGCUGGGAAAGUUGGGACACCGAUGAGUAUUACGGUUGUCUGACUGGCA